GCAGUUGUAGCUCAGUGGUAGAGUUCUUGCCUAGCAUGUGUGAGGCAUUGGGUUUAAUCCUAUCCACUACA
rnacentral:tRNA from 1 species